AGUGAACGCUGGCGGCGUGCUUAACACAUGCAAGUCGAACGAGAACGGGCUAUAGCUUGCUAUAGUUGUCAGCUAAGUGGCGCACGGGUGAGUAAUGUAUAGGUAAUGUGCCUCUUACUAAGGGAUAACAAAUGGAAACGUUUGCUAAUACCUUAUACUCCUUAUUAACAGAAGUUAAUAAGGGAAAGAUUUAUUGGUAAGAGAUUAGCCUGUAUUGUAUCAGUUAGUUGGUGGGGUAAUGGCUUACCAAGACUAUGACACAUAACUGGUUUGAGAGGAUGAUCAGUCACACUGGAACUGAGACACGGUCCAGACUCCUACGGGAGGCAGCAGUGGGGAAUAUUGCACAAUGGACGAAAGUCUGAUGCAGCAACGCCGCGUGGAGGAUGACACAUUUCGGUGCGUAAACUCCUUUUAUAUGAGAAGAUAAUGACGGUAUUAUAUGAAUAAGCACCGGCUAACUCCGUGCCAGCCGCCGCUGUAAGAC
rnacentral:rRNA from 1 species